rnacentral:rRNA from 1 species
GUGUCAGCAGCCGCGGUAAUACGAAGGGGGCUAGCGUUGUUCGGAAUCACUGGGCGUAAAGGGCGCGUAGGCGGCCGAUUAAGUCGGGGGUGAAAGCCUGUGGCUCAACCACAGAAUUGCCUUCGAUACUGAUUGGCUUGAGACCGGAAGAGGUCAGUGGAACUGCGAGUGUAGAGGUGAAAUUCGUAGAUAUUCGCAAGAACACCAGUGGCGAAGGCGGCUGACUGGUCCGGUUCUGACGCUGAGGCGCGAAAGCGUGGGGAGCAAACAGGAUUAGAUACCCCCGUAGUCC